GGUUAAGUGAAUAAGGGCGCACGGUGGAUGCCUUGGCACUAGGAGCCGAUGAAGGACGGGACUAACACCGAUAUGCUUUGGGGAGCUGUAAGUAAGCUAUGAUCCAGAGAUUUCCGAAUGGGGGAACCCAAUAUCUUUUAUAGGAUAUUACUUUUCAGUGAAUACAUAGCUGAUUAGAGGUAGACGCAGAGAACUGAAACAUCUUAGUACCUGCAGGAAGAGAAAGAAAAUUCGAUUCCCUGAGUAGCGGCGAGCGAAACGGGAAGAGCCCAAACCAACAAGCUUGCUUGUUGGGGUUGUAGGACUCCAAUAUGGUAGUCUGUUAGUAUAGUUGAAGGAUUUGGAAAAUUCCGCUAAAGAGGGUGAAAGCCCCGUAGACGAAAUGCUGACAACACCUAGGAGGAUCCUGAGUACGGCGGAACACGAGAAAUUCCGUCGGAAUCCGCGGGGACCAUCCCGCAAGGCUAAAUACUCCCUAGUGACCGAUAGUGAACCAGUACCGUGAGGGAAAGGUGAAAAGCACCCCGGAAGGGGAGUGAAAUAGAUCCUGAAACCGUGUGCCUACAACAAGUCAAAGCUCGUUAAUGAGUGAUGGCGUGCCUUUUGUAGAAUGAACCGGCGAGUUACGAUUGCAUGCGAGGUUAAGUCGAAGAGACGGAGCCGCAGCGAAAGCGAGUCUGAAUAGGGCGAAUGAGUAUGUAGUCGUAGACCCGAAACCAUGUGAUCUACCCAUGUCCAGGUUGAAGGUGCGGUAAAACGCACUGGAGGACCGAACCCACGUACGUUGAAAAGUGCGGGGAUGAGGUGUGGGUAGCGGAGAAAUUCCAAACGAACUUGGAGAUAGCUGGUUCUCUCCGAAAUAGCUUUAGGGCUAGCCUCGGAAUUGAGAAUGAUGGAGGUAGAGCACUGUUUGGACUAGGGGCCCAUCUCGGGUUACCGAAUUCAGAUAAACUCCGAAUGCCAUUCAUUUAUAUCCGGGAGUCAGACUGCGAGUGAUAAGAUCCGUAGUCGAAAGGGAAACAGCCCAGACCACCAGCUAAGGUCCCAAAAUAUAUGUUAAGUGGAAAAGGAUGUGGGGUUGCACAGACAACUAGGAUGUUGGCUUAGAAGCAGCCACCAUUUAAAGAGUGCGUAAUAGCUCACUAGUCGAGUGACCCUGCGCCGAAAAUGUACCGGGGCUAAACAUAUUACCGAAGCUGUGGACUACACCAUUAAGGUGUAGUGGUAGGAGAGCGUUCUAAGGGCGUUGAAGGUCGAUCGUGAGGACGGCUGGAGCGCUUAGAAGUGAGAAUGCCGGUAUGAGUAGCGAAAGACAGGUGAGAAUCCUGUCCACCGUAUGACUAAGGUUUCCUGGGGAAGGCUCGUCCGCCCAGGGUUAGUCGGGACCUAAGCCGAGGCCGAUAGGCGUAGGCGAUGGACAACAGGUUGAUAUUCCUGUACCAGUUGUUUUUGUUUGAGCAAUGGAGGGACGCAGUAGGCUAAGGAAUGCAUGCGAUUGGAAGUGCAUGUCCAAGCAAUGAGUCUUGAGUAGAGUUAAAUGCUUUACUCUUUAAGGACAAGUUGUGACGGGGAGCGAAAUAAUAGUAGCGAAGUUCCUGAUGUCACACUGCCAAGAAAAGCUUCUAGUGAGAAAACAACUGCCCGUACCGUAAACCGACACAGGUAGUCGAGGAGAGUAUCCUAAGGUGAGCGAGCGAACUCUCGUUAAGGAACUCGGCAAAAUGACCCCGUAACUUCGGGAGAAGGGGUGCUGACUUCGGUCAGCCGCAGUGAAUAGGCCCAAGCGACUGUUUAUCAAAAACACAGGUCUCUGCAAAAUCGUAAGAUGAAGUAUAGGGGCUGACGCCUGCCCGGUGCUGGAAGGUUAAGAGGAUGGGUUAGCUUCGGCGAAGCUCAGAAUUGAAGCCCCAGUAAACGGCGGCCGUAACUAUAACGGUCCUAAGGUAGCGAAAUUCCUUGUCGGGUAAGUUCCGACCCGCACGAAA
rnacentral:rRNA from 1 species